GCCAGCAGACAUAUCACCCUGCAGCUCACAACUGAUAUCUCACUCAAGCUAAGCAGGUGUGAGCCUGGUCAGUACCUGGAUGGGAGGCCUCCUGGGAAAAACUAAGGAUGCUCCUGGAA
rnacentral:rRNA from 1 species